CCUACGGGGGGCUGCAGUGGGGAAUAUUGGACAAUGGGGGCAACCCUGAUCCAGCCAUGCCGCGUGUGUGAAGAAGGCCCUCGGGUUGUAAAGCACUUUCAGUGAGGAAGAACGCCUGGUGGUUAAUACCCAUCAGGAAAGACAUCACUCACAGAAGAAGCACCGGCUAACUCCGUGCCAGCAGCCGCGGUAAUACGGAGGGUGCGAGCGUGAAUCGGAAUUACUGGGCGUAAAGCGCGCGUAGGUGGCUUGAUAAGCCGGUUGUGAAAGCCCCGGGCUCAACCUGGGAACGGCAUCCGGAACUGUCAGGCUAGAGUGCAGGAGAGGAAGGUAGAAUUCCCGGUGUAGCGGUGAAAUGCGUAGAGAUCGGGAGGAAUACCAGUGGCGAAGGCGGCCUUCUGGACUGACACUGACCCUGAGGUGCGAAAGCGUGGGUAGCAAACAGGAUUAGAUAACCCUGGAGUA
rnacentral:rRNA from 1 species